rnacentral:lncRNA from 1 species
CAGAAGGCCCGUGAAGGGAGGGCCCCCUCUCACUGCCUCGCAGGGGCACUGGGGGAACCCACCUGAGACACGCAGGAUCGGCAGCAGUUUCCCUUCUUCCCGUUCAAUUUUAUUGCCAGCAAACCCCAAACAAAAGACCCUCUGCAUUCAUCCCUGGGCAAGGAGAGAAAGCCGCCCCCAUCAUUAACCCUGGCUCCAAUUCCCAAGGCGAGGCUGAAAGUCAAGAUAUCGUUCAAGAAAGAACAGUUCUAACUGCUUAAUCUGGCAACAAAUUAGAGCCGAGAUGCUCAUCAGUCAUAAUCCUCUCCCCAUCCUGUUCUUCCCGAUGACUGCAACUAGGUAAUAUUAUUUAAUGUCCA